rnacentral:rRNA from 1 species
AAGACCUUGCGCUUUUGGAGCGGCCGAUGUCUGAUUAGCUUGUUGGUGAGGUAAAAGCUUACCAAGGCUUCGAUCAGUAGCUGGUCUGAGAGGACGGCCAGCCACACUGGGACUGAGACACGGCCCAGACUCCUACGGGGGGCAGCAGUGGGGAAUUUUGGACAAUGGGGGCAACCCUGAUCCAGCCAUGCCGCGUGAGUGAAGAAGGCCUUCGGGUUGUAAAGCUCUUUCAGCCGGAACGAAACGGUUACGGUUAAUACCCGUGAUUACUGACGGUACCGGAAGAAGAAGCACCGGCUAACUACGUGCCAGCAGCCGCGGUAAUACGUAGGGUGCGAGCGUUAAUCGGAAUUACUGGGCGUAAAGCGUGCGCAGGUGGUUUUGUAAGUCAGAUGUGAAAGCCCCGGGCUCAACCUGGGAACU